rnacentral:rRNA from 1 species
UUCCUGUCCAACGUUAAUCGGGGCAGGGUGAGUCGACCCCUAAGGCGAGGCCGAAAGGCGUAGUCGAUGGGAAACAGGUUAAUAUUCCUGUACUUGGUGUUACUGCGAAGGGGGGACGGAGAAGGCUAUGUUGGCCGGGCGACGGUUGUCCCGGUUUAAGCGUGUAGGCUGGUUUUCCAGGCAAAUCCGGAAAAUCAAGGCUGAGGCGUGAUGACGAGGCACUACGGUGCUGAAGCAACAAAUGCCCUGCUUCCAGGAAAAGCCUCUAAGCAUCAGGUAACAUCAAAUCGUACCCCAAACCGACACAGGUGGUCAGGUAGAGAAUACCAAGGCGCUUGAGAGAACUCGGGUGAAGGAACUAGGCAAAAUGGUGCCGUAACUUCGGGAGAAGGCACGCUGAUAUGUAGGUGAAGUCCCUCGCGGAUGGAGCUGAAAUCAGUCGAAGAUACCAGCUGGCUGCAACUGUUUAUUAAAAACACAGCACUGUGCAAACACGAAAGUGGACGUAUACGGUGUGACGCCUGCCCGGUGC